rnacentral:rRNA from 1 species
UACGGAGGGUGCAAGCGUUAAUCGGAAUUACUGGGCGUAAAGCGCACGUAGGUGGUUUGCUAAGUCAGCUGUGAAAUCCCCGGGCUCAACCUGGGCACUGCAGUUGAAACUGGCAAGCUAGAGUAGGGUAGAGGGGUGUGGAAUUCCAGGUGUAGCGGUGAAAUGCGUAGAUAUCUGGAGGAACAUCAGUGGCGAAGGCGACACCCUGGACUCAUACUGACACUGAGGUGCGAAAGCAUGGGGAGCGAACAGG